rnacentral:rRNA from 1 species
AUGCUUAGGGCUGUUUUGAAGAAUAAUAAGAAAAUGUGGGAGGAAUGCUUGCCUCAUAUUGAAUUUGCUUAUAAUCGUUCAUUGCAUUCUACUACUAAGAUGUGCCCAUUUGAAGUUGUGUAUGGUUUCCUACCUCGUGCACCUAUUGAUUUGUUGCCUCUUCCAUCUUCGGAGAAGGUUAAUUUUGAUGCUAAACAACGUGCUGAAUUGAUUUUAAAAAUGCAUGAGUUAACUAAGGAAAACAUUGAGCGUAUGAAUGCUAAAUAUAAACUUGCUGGAGAUAAGGGUAGAAAACAUGUUGUGUUUGCACCUGGAGAUCUUGUUUGGUUACAUUUGCGUAAGGAUAGAUUUCCUGAUUUGCGCAAAUCAAAGCUAAUGCCACGUGCUGAUGGUCCCUUUAAGGUGUUAGAGAAAAUAAAUGAUAAUGCAUAUAAACUUGAGCUGCCUGCAGAUUUUGGGGUUAGUCCCACUUUUAACAUUGCAGAUUUGAAGCCUUAUUUGGGUGAGGAAGAUGAACUUCCGUCGAGGACGACUUCAUUUCAAGAAGGGGAGGAUGAUGAGGACAUCAAUACAAUUGUUACACCCACAGCCCCUGCUGCUAUACAUACUGGACCAAUUACUAGAGCUCGUGCACGCCAACUAAAUUACCAGGUACUUUCGUUUCUUGGUAAUGAUUCUAAUGUUCAUGAGAAUAUGAUGCUGCCUAAAUUGGAUACAUUUGUUUUGCUUACAAAUGAAGGGCCUAGCUUGGAGAAGGAUGAACAUUGGAGCAAGAACAAGCAUGGAGAUGAUGGCAUGCGCAAGGGGAACAAGAACGGAGUUACAAGUGAUGAUUUCAGGACUUUGAAGCCACCAUAA